rnacentral:rRNA from 1 species
UGGGGUAGGUGUGUGACAGGCAAAUCCGUCACAUAAGCCGAAGACGUGAUGUGGAGCGAAAUUAAGUAGUGAAGUAUGUGAGCCAUGUGCCGAGAAAAGCCGCUAUUGUUUUAUAUGUGCCCGUACCGUAAACCGACACAGGUGGAUGAGGAGAGGAUCCUAAGGCCGACGGAAGAAGCAUUGUUAAGGAAUUCGGCAAAAUGACCCCGUAGCCUCGGGAGAAGGGGUGCCCACUGAAUGGUGGGCCGCAGAGAAUAGGCUCAAGCAACUGUUUAGCAAAAACACAAGUCUAUGCGAAACCGAAAGGUGAAGUAUAUGGGCUGACGCCUGCCCGGUGCUGGAAGGUUAAGAGGAGAGGUUAGCGCAAGCGAAGCUUUGAAUUUAAGCCCCAGUAAACGGCGGCCGUAACAAUAACGGUCCUAAGGUAGCGAAAUUCCUUGUCGGGUAAGUUCCGACCCGCACGAAAGGCGUAAUGAUUUGAGCACUGUCUCGACAAUGCAUCCGGUGAAAUUGAAGUACCAGUGAAGAUGCUGGUUACCCGCGCCAGGACGGAAAGACCCCAUGGAGCUUUACUCCAGUUUGAUACUGGGAUUCGGUACUGCACGUACAGGAUAGGUGGGAGACUGAGAACUAUGGACGCCAGUCUGUAGGGAGUCGCUGUUGGGAUACCACCCCUGUAGUACUGGGUUUCUAACCAUCUGCCGUGAUCCGGCAGUGGGACAAUGUCAGGCGGGGAGCUUGACUGGGGCGGUCGCCUCCGAAAGGGUAUCGGAGGCGCUCAAAGGUUCCCUCAGAAUGGUCGGAAACCAUUUGAAGAGUGCAAAGGCAGAAGGGAGCUUGACUGCGACACCGACGGGUGGAGCAGGUACGAAAGUAGGACUUAGUGAUCCGGUGGUAUAAAGUGGGAUUGCCAUCGCUCAACGGAUAAAAGCUACCCUGGGAUAACAGGCUUAUCACUCCCAAGAGUUCACAUCGACGGAGUGGUUUGGCACCUCGAUGUCGGCUCAUCGCAUCCUGGGGCUGUAGCAGGUCCCAAGGGUUGGGCUGUUCGCCCAUUAAAGCGGUACGCGAGCUGGGUUCAGAACGUCGUGAGACAGUUCGGUCCCUAUCCGGCGCGGGCGGAGGAUAUUUGAGAGGAGCUGUCCUUAGUACGAGAGGACCGGGAUGGACGGACCACUGGUGUAUCUGUUGUCGACCAACGGCAUGGCAGAGUAGCCAAGUCUGGAAGGGAUAAACGCUGAAGGCAUCUAAGCGUGAAGCCCCCCUCAAGAUGAGAUAUCCCUCCUUCGGGAGUAAGACCCCUUGAAGACUACAAGGUAGAUAGGGCAGAGGUGGAAGUGUGGCAACACAUGGAGCUGACUGUUACUAAUAGGUCGAGGGCUUGGUAA